GACGAACGCUGGCGGCGUGCUUAACACAUGCAAGUCGAACGGUGAACCUCUUCGGAGGGGAUCAGUGGCGAACGGGUGAGUAACACGUGGGCAACCUGCCCCCGGCUCUGGGAUAACUCCAAGAAAUUGGGGCUAAUACCGGAUGUUCACCGCUUCCCGCAUGGGUGGUGGUGGAAAGGGUUUCCGGCUGGGGAUGGGCCCGCGGCCUAUCAGCUUGUUGGUGGGGUAGUGGCCUACCAAGGCGACGACGGGUAGCCGGCCGGAGAGGGUGACCGGCCACAGUGGGAAGGAGAGACGGCAGAGAGUCCUAGGGGAGGGAGCAGUGGGGAAUAGUGGAAAAUGGGCGGAAGCCUGACGCAGCAAAGCCGCGUGGGGGAGGAAGGAGUUGGGGUUGUAAACAGAUUUCGCCGGGGAAGAAGAGGGAGGGAGGGGAAUGGGGAAAGAAGCAAAGGCCAACGACGUG
rnacentral:rRNA from 1 species